GAUGAACGCUAGCUACAGGCUUAACACAUGCAAGUCGAGGGGCAGCAUGAAAGUUUGCUUGCAAACUUUUGAUGGCGACCGGCGCACGGGUGAGUAACACGUAUCCAACCUGCCUCAUACUCGGGGAUAGCCUUUCGAAAGAAAGAUUAAUACCCGAUGUCAUAGUCCUACCGCAUGAUGGGAUUAUUAAAGAAUUUCGGUAUGGGAUGGGGAUGCGUUCCAUUAGGUAGUUGGCGGGGUAACGGCCCACCAAGACAACGAUGGAUAGGGGUUCUGAGAGGAAGGUCACCCACAUUGGAACUGAGACACGGUCCAA
rnacentral:rRNA from 1 species